rnacentral:rRNA from 1 species
UGGGGAAUAUUGGACAAUGGGCGAAAGCCUGAUCCAGCCAUGCCGCGUGUGUGAUGAAGGCCUUAGGGUUGUAAAGCACUUUUGUCCGGGAAGAUAAUGACUGUACCGGAAGAAUAAGCCCCGGCUAACUUCGUGCCAGCAGCCGCGGUAAUACGAAGGGGGCUAGCGUUGCUCGGAAUCACUGGGCGUAAAGCGCACGUAGGCGGAUUACUAAGUCGGAGGUGAAAGCCUGGGGCUCAACCCCAGAAUUGCCUUCGAUACUGGUAGUCUCGAGUUUGGAAGAGGUUGGUGGAACUCCGAGUGUAGAGGUGAAAUUCGUAGAUAUUCGGAAGAACACCAGUGGCGAAGGCGGCCAACUGGUCCAAUACUGACGCUGAGGUGCGAAAGCGUGGGGAGCAAA